UUUGUGCGUAGAAGUGAAAAGCUCUUCUACUGUAUCUAUAGUUCUUUAAGAUCGCGGAAAUUAGAAGACUUUUAUUUUAUUUUUAUUUUUUUUUUUUUUUGGCAUAAGGUAGGAUAUGUAUGCCAACUCUCUCUUACUGAUCUUAAUGUAGUUCUUUGUUUUUUUUGGGAAAUCGUUGUUUUAUUUAUUAUUUUUCUUGAAAUUCUUUGUUGGAAGUAAAUUCCUUAUCAGAAAUUAGGGGCGCUGGAAAAAUCGAAGCUAGAUUGGAGUAUAUAAUAACACCAUUGUUUAUAAGCUUUCAAUUAAUUUAUGCAGAAAUGAUCUGUGGAUUCCUUGGAGCUUAAUUAAGCAAUUCAAGGAGAAAAUCAGACCAAUUAACCAUGCAGAUAAUGUUGCUGCCUCUGCAACUUAAUCACAAAGGAUUCCUAUGUUUUUGUCACAAGUUCACUGAUCCGCCUUGGAGUAGGUUUUGCAUACCUUGAUUUUUAUAAAUGUUCAUACCCUUAAAUAAAUAUUUCGUGAUGUCCUUAUGCUUUAUUUCUGAUUGAUAUUCUUCGGGCCUAUGAGUUUUUGGUUGCCAAUUCUUAAAAUAAAGUUUAAACGAUAUUAUUUUAUGUUCUUUGCUCAAAUUCAUGAAGAGGCUGAUAUAUCUACCAACCCCAUAUUCUUACUUUAGAGAAAAAGAAAAACUUUGGCAGUUAAUCAUAUUCAUCUAGUUUAAAUCUAUUUCAACCAAAGGAGAGAGACAUCUUACUGGAUCUCUAAUGAAAAUGUAAGAGUCGAAAUUACAUUAAUAUACAUAUUUUAUUUUAAUCUAGAUUUAUUUAAAUUUUAGACCGAUUCAAGCUUGAAUUUAAAAAAUUUUACUUUCUCGGCUUGACUCGAUAGGUUAAUAAUUUUUUAUAUAAAAGAUAUAUUUUUAUAUAUAAAUAAAAAUACAUAUUGUGUUUAUAAUUUAAAAAUAGAAAAUGGGUUCAGAUUUAAUUGCUUCUAUCCAAGUUUAGCCCGAAUUGGACAGACUCUCACAGUUAAGAAAAUCUCCUGAACAAGUCUUGUGAAUACAUUAAUGGUAUCAUAUCGAUCCAAAAAAAAAAUUAAGAAUUCUCAACGUCUCUUGAACUAACUCCAAACUGUUUGCUAGUUCUUGUUAAGUUUUUGUUACCCCUUUCCAUCAAACUCUUUUGAUAUUUAGUUUAUGGUCUUUGUAUACAGUUAUUUGCCAGUUAAUGUUUGAAUUAAUAGUAAUGAACUGCAAAUAUCUCUAACAGUCGUGACAUUAACAGCACAAGUGAUGCUUUCAAUAAAAUGAGUAAAAUGUAUAAAUUAUCUUUUGUUGUAUGCAGCUAGUCUCCUCUCUCCUUCAAAUGUUCAUAGGCUUUGUCAAUAGUAAUAUUGGACAAUCUCUCUAUGAAUAAGUUCAUGGUAUCGUCUCGAUCUAAUAAACUAAUCCUAACAUACUGAGGGCCAACCCCGAAGUGCUUCCCGCUUCUUGUUAAGAUUCUACUUGACCGGAGGAAUUCUUGGCAAUCCUUGAUGGGUUCUUCACACUUCAACCAUGCAAAAGCUGCACUAACAGAUCAUACAUGAGUAAGUUGCAACUACAUAAUGGAAAGAGCACAUUUGAUGAUCAUUAAUUGGUGAACUUUACCAGGUUGAGGCUCGAAGGACCUCUCAAGGUAGUUGCAGAAUCCGGAGGAGAAACUUGGCAAGCUGAAAAGGCCAUUAUGCUGCACCGCUUCCCUUAGGAGUUGCC
rnacentral:lncRNA from 1 species